rnacentral:rRNA from 1 species
CCAGACUCCUACGGGAGGCAGCAGUGGGGAAUAUUGGGCAAUGGGCGCAAGCCUGACCCAGCAACGCCGCGUGAAGGAAGAAGGCUUUCGGGUUGUAAACUUCUUUUGUCAGGGACGAAGCAAGUGACGGUACCUGACGAAUAAGCCACGACUAACUACGUGCCAGCAGCCGCGGUAAUACGUAGGUGGCAAGCGUUAUCCGGAUUUACUGGGUGUAAAGGGCGUGUAGGCGGGACUGCAAGUCAGAUGUGAAAACCACGGGCUCAGCCUGUGGCCUGCAUUUGAAACUGUAGUUCUUGAGUACUGGAGAGGCAGACGGAAUUCCUAGUGUAGCGGUGAAAUGCGUAGAUAUUAGGAGGAACACCAGUGGCGAAGGCGGUCUGCUGGACAGCAACUGACGCUGAGGCGCGAAAGCGUGGGGAGCAAACAGGAUUAGAUACCCCUGUAUCG